rnacentral:rRNA from 1 species
UAAUUUAAGGUCUGACCUGCCCACUGAUGAAGUUGAAUGGCCGCAGUAUAUUAACUGUGCAAAGGUAGCAUAGUCAUUAGUCUUUUAAUUGAAGGCUUGUAUGAAUGGUUGGACGAGGUAUUUACUGUUUCACAAGAAUUUAAUUAGAAUUUCAUUUUUUAGUUAAAAAGCUGAAAUGAGAUUAAAAGACGAGAAGACCCUAUAGAGCUUUAUUUUUCAUAUUUUUUUAAUUGUGAAGUGUGCUUUGAUUAUAAAUUUGUGAAUUAUUUUGUUGGGGUGACAUCAAGAUUUGAAAAACUCUUGAGUGUAAGAGACAUUGAUUUAUGGGUGUGUUGAUCCAUUAGUAAUGAUUAGAAAAUCAAGUUACCUUAGGGAUAACAGCGUAAUUUUCUUGGAGAGUUCUUAUCGAUAAGAAGGAUUGCGACCUCGAUGUUGGAUUAAGAGAAAAGAUCCGGGCGCAGCCGCUCGGAGUAAAAGUCUGUUCGA